rnacentral:rRNA from 1 species
AGUGAACGCUGGCGGUAGGCCUAACACAUGCAAGUCGAACGGCAGCACAGUAAGAGCUUGCUCUUACGGGUGGCGAGUGGCGGACGGGUGAGGAAUACAUCGGAAUCUACUUUUUCGUGGGGGAUAACGUAGGGAAACUUACGCUAAUACCGCAUACGACCUACGGGUGAAAGCAGGGGAUCUUCGGACCUUGCGCGAUUGAAUGAGCCGAUGUCGGAUUAGCUAGUUGGCGGGGUAAAGGCCCACCAAGGCGACGAUCCGUAGCUGGUCUGAGAGGAUGAUCGGCAACCCUGAACCGGAGAACCGUCCAAGACCCCUACGGAGGGCAGAGGUGGGAAUAUUGGACAAUGGGCGCAAGCCUGAUCCAGCCAUACCGCGUGGGUGAAGAAGGCCUUCGGGUUGUAAAGCCCUUUUGUUGGGAAAGAAAAGCAGCAGGUUAAUACCCCGCUGUUCUGACGGUACCCAAAGAAUAAGCACCGGCUAACUUCGUG